AAAGUGAAUAGUGAAAUCUGGUGGCUCAACCAUUCAGGCUAUUAUUCAAACUCACACACUCGAGAACAGCAGAGGUAACUGGAAUUUCUGAGGUAGGGGUAAUAUCCGUAGAUAUCAGAAGGAACACCAAUGGCGUAGGCAGGUUACUGGGCUGUUUCUGACACUGAGGCACGAAAGCGUGGGAGCGAACCGGAUUAGAUACCCGGGUAGUCCACGCCGUAAACGAUGGAUACUA
rnacentral:rRNA from 1 species